CGUGUAGGCGGGUCUUUAAGUCAGGGGUGAAAUGCCAAGGCUCAACCUUGGAACUGCCUUUGAUACUGGAGAUCUUGAGUCCGGGAGAGGUGAGUGGAACUGCGAGUGUAGAGGUGAAAUUCGUAGAUAUUCGCAAGAACACCAGUGGCGAAGGCGGCUCACUGGCCCGGAACUGACGCUGAGACGCGAAAGCGUGGGGAGCAAACAGGAUUGGAUACCCUGGUAGUCCACGCUGUAAACGAUGGAUGCUAGCCGUUGGGGAGCUUGCUCUUCAGUGGCGCCGCUAACGCAUUAAGCAUCCCGCCUGGGGAGUACGGUCGCAAGAUUAAA
rnacentral:rRNA from 1 species